rnacentral:lncRNA from 1 species
CUGCAAUCCUUGGUCAGGGCCCUGACACUGGGUAUUCCAACAUAUUGGGUCCAGCCACUCACCUCCAAACCCAGAGAAAGUAGGUGUGAAAACCAGGAAAGGACAUUUAGUCAGUAAAACCACAGCAGGAAGGAAGGGCAGCUGCUCCUGUCAGUGCUGUUCAGCGGGGCAGUCAAGAGCCCCCGAAUUAUCCAGGCAAGGAAAAUUAUCCAGGAAUCAGAGGAAACACAUGCCAUUGGACACCGAGAGUCAGGAGAGACAACAGCACACUCCGCCCAUUUCAAUAAAGAGAAAAGCAAUCUCGAGAAAGCAAACGACCCCUGCCAACCCUCGGUUGGAAUCUCAGGACUCUGACUGCGUAUGCUCUACCCAGUGGAAACGUUCGCCACAUGGGCUGGGGAGAUGACUGGCUUGGGUGAAGCACUUGCUACACAGCCCAAGGACCUGAAAUCAGAACCCCAGAACCCUUAGAAAGACUGGCGUGGCUCCCAGCACCCUACAGGAAAGUGGGAAGCAGCGACAAGAACAUUUCUUGGCAAACUGGGAAGGAGGAGGAGUCCCCAACUGGAACAAGCAUAUCACCACUGAUAUCACCACCACCGUCAUCAUCACCACCACCAUCAUCAUCAUCGCCACCACCGUCUUCAUCACCGGCCAUGCUCCCAUCUGUAACUCUGUCCUACUGCUACUUUAUGUACCUAUCACUACAUCAGCCUCAGCUCUCAUUAGUGAGAGAGGUGCUAAGUCACAGAGUUGUUCCGAGUCCUUGCAUGGCUGAGGUCUCAUUCUAGGCAAUGAGACAAUGAAGAAUAGACACACACACACAUUUGUCAAUGGACAGAAAGGCUGAGAUUUUGUGGACUAAGGGUUCCAAUGGGAAAGCAGAAGGACCCAAGAAGCACAGCGUGUUUGUUACGUACAAGGAGGAGGGGCUGUGAUAUGCAUACAGAUUAUCAAGGAGUGGGGUUUAUUGUGUACAAAAAGAAGGCAAGGAUAUUGCCUACAGCUGAACAAGGUGGCAGAGUUAUUGAUUACAGAUAAGCAAGGAGGCAGCAUAAGAAUAAAAAUUUUUUUAUGGUUUUAGAGCUUUAUUGUAGAAAGGCAGAGAGAAAAAGAGAAGGUAGAAAGAGAGAGGCUGGCCAUGGCCACGUGGAGAGAGGGGGAAGGGAGAGAGAGAAGGAGGGCUGGACUGUUUUCAGCCUCUGAGACUUACUGCUGACUCAGCUCACCCCUUCCUCGUUCUUUCUGAGUUCUGGCUGU